AUUGAACGCUGGCGGCAUGCCUAACACAUGCAAGUCGAGCGGAGCGGCGGACGGGUGAGUAAUGCCUAGGAAUCUGCCUGGUCGUGGGGGUUAACGUCCGGAAACGGGCCCUAAUACCGCAUACUAUCAGAUGAGCCUCGGUCGGAUUAGCUAGUUGGUGGGGUAAAGGCCUACCAAGGCGACGAUCCGUAACUGGUCUGAGAGGAUGAUCAGUCACACGGGAACUGAGACACGGUCCAGACUCCUACGGGAGGCAGCAGUGGGGAAUAUGGGACAAUGGGCGAAAGCCUGAUCCAGCCAUGCCGCGUGUGUGAAGAAGGCCUUCGGGUUGUAAAGUACGUUCAGCGGGGAGGCGUUACCCGCAGAAGAAGCACCGGCUAACUCCGUGCCAGCAGCCGCGGUAAUUC
rnacentral:rRNA from 1 species